CGCCUCCCCGCGGCGGUGUCACCUGCCUCAGGGGCGUCUCGCCUGCUGCUGCCCGGCUGGGAAGGACGAUGGACGCCGCUGGCGCGUGCCCGAGUACACACACAAGGAUUUGUUCCAGAUAUCCAUGAACAAGCCAGGACGAAGCCCUUUCCGGCCAAACCAUUAAGGCUGGGAAAGAAACAGUGCCUGCCCAAACUCUGGGAGCAGGAACCCGGGAGAAGACUUGAGUGGCUCUGGAAAAACUGGCAGGAAUUUCCUUGUCGUGAGAAGACCGACGAGCGUCUGCAGCAGAGACAACUACAAACAGACUUUGG